ACUUGGUAUUGGUUUCGGAAAACAGCCUGGAUAGCGCAGAACGUGUAUUACGGGAGUCACUUGACACUCAUCCACCCCUGCGAUUGUAGAGACGUUUCCACAAAGUAGAAACAUCAGCGUAGCUAGUAGAGCUGUUGUUCAUGGAUACCUAGCUGGUUCUAGUUCACUGAGUUAUAACUAAAAUCAUAAGGACUUCCAAUGCCAUGCGGGCAAUAAUAUUCUUGAUAAUAACUGGAAUGUGCCGAAAACACUAACACAUGGCAGGUGGUUCCAGUUCUAACGGAGAUUCUUCUCCAAGUCGAGUAUGUAGAGAUUUUCUGCGCAACGUUUGCCACAGAGGGAAGCGAUGUAAAUAUCUUCAUGAAAGAUCAGAAGAUGACCCAGCAGAUGAAUAUACUUUUUGUCAUGAUUUUCAAAAUGGGAUUUGCAAUUGGCCGGGAUGCCGAUUUUUGCAUUGCACCGAAAGUGAAGAAAAACACUUCAGAGCAACUGGUGAAUUACCACCGCGUAUUUUAUCGAAUUUGAAAUGUAACAAUGACAAAUCCGAACUACCGUUAUGCAAGGAUUUCAUCAAAGGCAGCUGCCAAAGAGUCAAUUGUAAGUACAGGCAUUACAAGAAGGAAGAACCACAGCAUCCUAUGGUCCCUCCGCCCCAUCAUACCGUUACGAGACCUCAACAUAAUUUUAACGGUGUCAGUAAUGGCGAAAAUCGAAGAUAUGAAGAAGAAAGAAGCUACCACUGGCAGAUGGAGGACCCGCAUCCACUGGUCCACAAUAAUGGCUACAAUCCUUCUACGCAUCCGCCUGAUUAUUUGGGGCCUCCUGAAGCAAAACGACGAAUUGUCUCUGGAGAAACUAUCUUGCAUUUCGAAACGUCACCUCUGGUAGGACAGCAUCCAACCCAGCCUGUAACUUCUAGCUAUUACUAUCCUGUAAUCCCCAGAAAUGAAGCUAGAGCUUUUAAUCUCGAAGAUGAAAAUGCAUUGCUGAAAAAAAAGAUUGAGGAACUAAAAAAGCAGGUCAACGAUUUAACAGCGACAAAUGAAUUCCUACUGGACCAAAAUGCACAACUAAGAAUGUCUGGUAAAAGGACAACUAAUGUAACUGCUGUAACAGUCCCAGCAGUUACGAUAACAAACACUGUACCUCCAUCUCAAGCUCCAACACCUCAACAGAUGGUUAAUGCUGCUGUAGCAGCUGGAACACUGCGAACUGUUACAGCUAGCGUUGCAACUGUUCCUGUGAGCAUAGCAACAGUAACUCCUGUAUCAAUCGCUGCUGUUUCCAUGGCACCGGUGUCUAUUCCUCCACCGAUUGUCACGAUGGCUCAACAAACUAUUAGUAUGAGUGGUUCGGGUCCUCAGCCUACCAACCAACAAGCACCGAACGCUCAGCAACCAACAAACUUACCACUAUCAAUAUCUGGUCCAACCGCACCACUCGUUUCUUAUCCAAUUAUGACACAAGAACUGAGACCUGUCUUACAAUAAAAGAUUAUUCUUUUAUAGAAGUUAAAAAAACACCAACUCAUUUAAAUACUGUAUUACGGAGCCUACGAUCAAAACCAUGAUUCGUAACAUCCCAGCUAAAACCGUAUAAAAUCAAAACAUUAGAUGACUCUUGACCCGGCUAGGUGGGUAGUAACAGUCAAGAACGCAGCUGCUUUGUGGGGGGCCAUUUCUGUUGUGUCAAAACAAAUAGAAUGGUCUCGUGGACAGGCGCUGCGCUAUCGGUGUAUGAAAAACGUGUCAUUGGUAUUUCAGAACUAUCAUGUAACUACAUUCCGCAAAUCAGACAAGAUAUUAUCGAACAGGUCGGCUCAAUUUGUUCACAUUUUUGAGUUCAGGAUCAUAUAAUAGAUUUUAUACGGUUUUGGCCAGGAU